GCCUUUUAAAGGGCCACCCCGGAGGCCAGAGCCGGUCAUCCGGCGGGGAGGGAGCGGCGCCCACCGUCGCCGCGGCUACAGUGGCUGGCCGGACUCCCAGGACACUUCGCUGACACCGCCCCGGGGCGGGAACUAGUACGACCGCCCCGGGUCCGACGCCGCCGCGAGCCCUUCUUUCAACCCAGAUAGAUACCUCCCGCCGCCCAGGAAAAGAGGCCAGAUGGAGGAGAAGGGCCCUUUCACAAACCGAAGAUAAAUUGGGUGGCGUUUGCUCAGCGCCCCGGGGAUCCGGGAGACUUCGCUGGAGCGCGCUCACCGAGGAUCCCCUUCUUGACGCUCGGCCUCUUCCUGGAAUCUAGGUUCACCCUUCUCGACCGGGGUUCUCGGGACGCCACCGGGGAACUGUUCCUCCUGCCUCGUCCCUUGCUAACCAGACGCUGGGUCUUCUAAUCUGCGGUUAAUCAUCAUGAUAACAACAGCCUAACGGUACUGAGCGCUGAGGAGUGCCUGGCACUCUAUUAAGUGCCCCCUUGGCAACAGCCCUAUGAAAAAGACUGAGGAACUGCAGCUGCUGAAGGUCAAAGAGAGAAGCAGAGAUUCAGACCCAGACCCUCCUGCGCUAAAGCCCUCAGCUAGUACAUGGACCUGCUUUCGAGGAAAAGCAGCAAGCACACAGGAGCAGAAAGCAUUUUGUCAAAAUUAUUAUUAUAAAUUCAUGCCUGAUUCCCGAAUGACAAAACCAAAACCGAAGCAGUGCAGUUUCUCAGGCAGCUUUCUCCUAAAUGCUCAUCAGCGUUCACCUCAGAGUCGUUCUCCUCAUAAUUUUAUGCAUGGCACUUUUCUAACCAUUCUCUAAAGAGUGAUUUCUUCCCGCCCUCCUCUGACGAAAGGAGAGAAUGUGCAAAAGUCAAAUCAGAUUACAGUCAGCCCCCAGGGAAAGUGGGAGAUUCUGCUUCACUGAACUUGGGUCACCUGACAGAAAAAUUGGAAGCAAUUUGAAUGGUUACCAACAGGAUAGGGUCAGCUAGACAGCGCAGCAACCAGAGAGACCAUUAAGGGAAUCAUUUUAAACAAUUACGGAGACUGUGUAGCAACAUGAAAUAAUUCUUAGGUAUAAUUAUGAGUGAAAAGGAGAAGAUAGAAAAUUGCGCAUGUACUGCCUUUGCAACCACAUAAAAAUAAAUAUAAAUGCUCAUGAUCAAAGACUGGAACAAACCAUGCACAAGGAAAU